rnacentral:snRNA from 1 species
GAACAGUUAAGUGCUCACUAAUAUUAGAACAAGACUGAGAAGAUUAGCAUGACCCCCAUGCAAAGAUGACAAGCAAAUUCAUGAGGUGUUGCAAAUUCUC